CUACGGGGGGCAGCAGUGGGGAAUCUUGCACAAUGGAGGAAACUCUGAUGCAGCGAUGCCGCGUGAGUGAAGAAGGCCCUUGGGUUGUAAAGCUCUUUUGUCGGGAAAGAUAAUGACUGAACCCGAAGAAUAAGGUCCGGCUAACUUCGUGCCAGCAGCCGCGGUAAUACGAAGGGACCUAGCGUAAUUCGGAAUUACUGGGCGUAAAGCGCGCGUAGGCGGUUAAGUAAGUUAAUUGUGAAAGCCCAAAGCUCAACUUUGGAAUUGCAAUUAAAACUACUUAGCUAGAGUUUAUCAGAGGAGAGCGGAAUACAUAGUGUAGAGGUGAAAUUCGUAGAUAUUAUGUAGAACACCAGUUGCGAAGGCGGCUUUCUGGGAUAACACUGACGCUGAGGUGCGAAAGUAUGGGUAGCGAAGAGGAUUAGAUACCCGGGUAGUC
rnacentral:rRNA from 1 species